GCUCUGUUGUUAGGGAAGAACAAGUGCGAGAGUAACUGCUCGCACCUUGACGGUACCUAACCAGAAAGCCACGGCUAACUACGUGCCAGCAGCCGCGGUAAUACGUAGGUGGCAAGCGUUGUCCGGAAUUAUUGGGCGUAAAGGGCUCGCAGGCGGUUUCUUAAGUCUGAUGUGAAAGCCCCCGGCUCAACCGGGGAGGGUCAUUGGAAACUGGGAAACUUGAGUGCAGAAGAGGAGAGUGGAAUUCCACGUGUAGCGGUGAAAUGCGUAGAGAUGUGGAGGAACACCACUGGCGAA
rnacentral:rRNA from 1 species